GGUGGCUUAGUGGUAGAGCGCUUGUCUUGCAUGCAUGAGGACCUGGGUUCGAUUCCUCAGCACCA
rnacentral:tRNA from 1 species